CGCGCAGCAGCAGGCACCAUGCUCAACAGCCUGGCGGAGGGCGAGGACGGCGAGGGGGGGGCGGCCCAAGGUGAUGGGAACCCCAAGG